UACGUAGGGCGCAAGCGUUUGUCCGGAUUUAUUGGGCGUAAAGAGCUCGUAGGCGGUUUGUACGCGUCUUCCGUGAAAACUCGGGGGCUUAACUUCCAGCUUGCGGUGGAUACGGCUGACUGGAGUGCGGCAGGGGAGACGUGGAAUUCCUGGUGUAGCGGUGAAAUGCGCAGAUAUCAGGAGGAACACCGGUGGCGAAGGCGGGUCGCUCGGGCCGGUUACUGACGCUGAGGAGCGAAAGCGUGGGAGCGAACAGG
rnacentral:rRNA from 1 species